GAAAUGCGAUAAGUAAUGUGAAUUGCAGAAUUCAGUGAAUCAUCGAAUCUUUGAACGCACAUUGCGCCCGCCAGUAUUCUGGCGGGCAUGCCUGUUCGAGCGUCAUUACAACCAUCAGGCCCCCGGGCCUGGCGUUGGGGAUCGGCGGAAGCCCCCUGCGGGCACAACGCCGUCCCCCAAAUACAGUGGCGGUCCCGCCGCAGCUUCCAUUGCGUAGUAGCUAACACCUCGCAACUGGAGAGCGGCGCGGCCACGCCGUAAAACACCCAACUUCUGAAUGUUGACCUCGAAUCAGGUAGGAAUACCCGCUGAACUUAAGU
rnacentral:misc_RNA from 1 species